rnacentral:rRNA from 1 species
AGUCGAGCGCGAAAAUUCCUUCGGGGAUGAGUAGAGCGGCGCACGGGUGAGUAACACGUGAAUAAUCUACCUAUUAGCCCGGGAUAACUGUUGGAAACGACAGCUAAUACCGGAUAAGCUCCCACUAUCCUUGGAUAGAGAGAGAAAAGGCGGCCUCUUCCUGAAAGCUGUCACUUAUAGAUGAGUUCGCGUCCCAUUAGUUAGUUGGUGAGGUAAUGGCUCACCAAGACUUCGAUGGGUAGCUGGUCUUAGAGGAUGAUCAGUCACAUGGACACUGAGACACGGGUCCAACUCCUACGGGAGGCAGCAGUGGGGAAUAUUGCACAAUGGAGGAAACUCUGAUGCAGCAACGCCGCGUGGGUGAAGAAGGGUUUCGGCUCGUAAAGCUCUGUCCUGGGGGACGAAAAAGCACGGUCAAUAUCCGUGUCAAUAGACGGUACCCCAGAAGAAAGCACCGGCUAACUCCGUGCCAGCAGCCGCGGUAAUACGGAGGGUGCAAGCGUUGUUCGGAAUUAUUGGGCGUAAAGCGAGUGCAGGCGGCCGCGUAUGUCUGGUGUGAAAGCCCUGAGCUUAACUCAGGAAGUGCACUGGAAACUGCGUAGCUUGAAUCUCGGAGAGGGUGGUAGAAUUCCUGGUGUAGAGGUGAAAUUCGUAGAUAUCAGGAGGAAUACCGGUGGCGAAGGCGACCACCUGGACGAUGAUUGACGCUGAGACUCGAAAGCGUGGGGAGCAAACAGGAUUAGAUACCCUGGUAGUCCACGCCGUAAACGAUGGAUACUAGUUGCUGCGGGAGAUGACACCUGCUGUGACGUAGCUAACGCGUUAAGUAUCCCGCCUGGGGAGUACGUCGGCAACGAUGAAACUCAAAGGAAUUGACGGGGGCCCGCACAAGCGGUGGAACAUGUGGUUUAAUUCGAC